rnacentral:rRNA from 1 species
UACGAAGGGGGCGAGCGUUGUUCGGAUUUACUGGGCGUAAAGGGCGCGCAGGCGGCUCAUUUUGUCAGGCGUGAAAUCCCCGGGCUCAACCUGGGAACUGCAUUUGUGACUGCACAGCUGGAGUGCGGCAGAGGGGGAUGGAAUUCCGCGUGUAGCAGUGAAAUGCGUAGAUAUGCGGAGGAACACCGAUGGCGAAGGCAAUCCCCUGGGCCUGCACUGACGCUCAUGCACGAAAGCGUGGGGAGCAAACAGG